rnacentral:rRNA from 1 species
AUUGAACGCUGGCGGCAGGCCUAACACAUGCAAGUCGAGCGGAUGAGUGGAGCUUGCUCCAUGAUUCAGCGGCGGACGGGUGAGUAAUGCCUAGGAAUCUGCCUGGUAGUGGGGGACAACGUUUCGAAAGGAACGCUAAUACCGCAUACGUCCUACGGGAGAAAGCAGGGGACCUUCGGGCCUUGCGCUAUCAGAUGAGCCUAGGUCGGAUUAGCUAGUAGGUGAGGUAAUGGCUCACCUAGGCGACGAUCCGUAACUGGUCUGAGAGGAUGAUCAGUCACACUGGAACUGAGACACGGUCCAGACUCCUACGGGAGGCAGCAGUGGGGAAUAUUGGACAAUGGCGAAGCUGAUCACGCAA